CCUCACACUAAUUAUACUUUACUCUAGAUAAGACGGCACUCUUUUGAUCGAGAUGUGUCUUGAGGGUUUCUCGUUAGCCGAUUUUUCCCACACAUGGUAGCAAAGUCGAGGCGAAAUUUUAUAAUAAACUAUCCUAUACUUAUAAGUUCAACCGGCGUUGUACAAUCGAGAAAGUUCUGCUUAGCGAUUCCUUCGAGUGAGUAGACAAAUCAAGACCCAAGCAUCACUGAAGCCAAUGAAACUGCAAUCCUCUCAACCAAUGGAGGUAAUUACAGACUCUUAAUGGGCUUAUUGGAUUCACAAAUUACAGUGUUGGUUCUACAACAACAAACGUUUUUAAUUACAAUUAACGAUUCCAAAAAAAUAAUUUCAGAGAGUUUCUUAUGAACUAGCGACUCAUAAGAAACCCCCUUUCACUUAUUAGAGAAGCAAAAGAAGAGCCUUCAUGCUGACGGAAAAUUAGAUUCUUGGAAGUUCACCACACUGACAAAAACGCAGCAAAAUCCCACACACACAUUCAUUGGCAGAAAGCGCACAAAGAAGUGCAUUGCAAAAUUUUAUACUAUGGAUGCCUUCGCAUCCACAUUUCAAUGCAUCCGGCAUUAUUCGGCAAGAUUUUACUACGUCUAUGAAUCGAAGGCUGCAGAAGUCGCGUAAAAAGCUUUCACGAAAUACAGGGUGUCCACCGAAAGUCAGCGCGCAGUAGCACACACACACAUGCACGCAUAUAGUGUUUCCAGCUUCGCCGAGAACAGCCAACCGCAGUGAGCAGUGCAGCCAUAAAAGCGAGCGUAAGGAGGAGAAAGGCGGCAGCAGGAAUUUGUGCGGCAUUGAGCGCAUGUCACGGAGUACCAAUGGACGCCAGCACCGGGGCUGUGGUAAAUGCGAUGGAAAAGAGUGAGUACGCGCACAUACACGCACACACAGCCACUAAUACAUAUGUAUGGAAGUGCUGCUCUGCGCAGGUGUAUGCAGAAAUGAGUUUUUAGGUGUGUGUGUGUGUGUACUUAUGUAUUGAGCGCAGUACAUAAGCGCCACUGAAGUGGGCGGACUUUCCACCAGCGCUAGACUCCAUGGCGGAAAAUGCUCGCCGGCUAAACACAUUCGCAAACUUCUCGUCGCGGUGGCAGGACGUGCGCACAGCUGCUGGGCGGCGCAGUGUGGCGUACACAGAGGACUCGCUGGUGGUUAUUUUGCAUAACUUAGCAUACACACAGGGGCAAAAUGUGAAUUUCAAACAAUGCACUGAAAUAUAGUGGAGAAUUGUGAUAAAUUACUACAAUUAUGAAAUAUUCUUUAAUUUAGUAUGAACUUCUGAUGGUUGAGAAAGUUAAAACCGAAAUUAAAAAAAAAAAAAAAUCAACAACAACCCAAAAUAACAACAAAAAAUUUGUUUUCCGUAAUUUUUGGUACAAUUUGUGUAAAGUGCGACUUAUUGAGUGUAUAAACAAAGAAAAUGCUCUGGAAAAGCUGUCUCAAAGCAACAAAUGCUAGAAGAAACUUUCGGAAAUCCUUGAAAUGAAAUUCAUUCAGAUAUUAACGUGUUUACCUCUAAAUAAAAUUGUGUUUAUUUAAAGAAAUAUCGUCUUGGUUGAACUGAAAGCCGUCAUAGUCUCUAAUUUGGCAAUAAAGAAUAUUAAAUUAAAAAGUGAUGAGCGUUGAUUUCGUUUUAGUAUUUAAAUGAAAAAUAUCAUUAUAUAUCAGAUAUACUCGUAUUAAAAACAAUAAACAAUGUUGCCUUCGGGCACACUGCAGCUACAAUACCCUUCACAGGUGCAUUUUUGUAUAAAAUAAUAUUUAUAAUGAUUUUGAUCGAACAGUUUGUAUGACAGCUAUAUACUAUAGCAGUUCAAUCUGAACAAUAUGUUGAGGUAUUGUAGCACCGGACUUUUCUUCCGCUCAAGGACUGUCAACUCGGCAGAAUUCUGUCGCUAAAACAACAAAAAACGAGAAAAAACGUUAACUUCGGCUGCACCGAAGCUAAUAUACCCUUCACAGGUGCAUUACUUUUAGUAACUAUGUGUUUAAGUAAAUUUAGUUGUUUUCAUCCAAAGGAAAACAUUUUACUAGUUCUUUUUAGCCAGGUUGCUUGCUAGAAAUAUUAAAGUUAUUUAAUAAAGAAUAUAUCGUCAAAUGAGAAAGUUUCCCAUGCAAGCAUUUGAUUUCGAUAAUUCAGUUUGUAUGGAAGCUAUAUACUAUAGUGAGCCGAUCUGAACAAUUUUUUCGAAGAUUAAAUUGUUGUCUUAGAAAAUAAUCUAUACCAAAUUUCGUGAAUAUAUCUUGUCAAAUGCAAAAGUUUCCCAUACCAGCACUAGGUUCCUAUCGUUCAGUUUGUAUGACAGCUAUAUGCUGUAGUAAUCCGAUCUGAACAAUUUCUUCGUAUAUUACAUUAUUAUCUUAGAAAAUAACCUGUGCCAACUUUUGUGAAGAUACAUUCUCAAAUGCAAAAGUUUUCCAUACAAGAACUUGAUUCCGAUCGUUCGGUUUGUAUGACAGCUAUAUGUUAUAGUGGUCCGAUAUCUGCCGUUCCGACAAAUGAGAAGCUUCUUGAAGAGAAAAUGUCGUUUGCAAAAUUUCAAAAGGAUAUCUUAAAAACUGAGGGACGAGUUCGUAUACAUAUAUACAGACGGACAGACAAACAGACAGACAGAUGGACACGGCUAAAUCGACUCAGCUCAACAUCCUAAUCAUUUAUCUAUAUACUUUGUAGGGUCUCCGACGCUUCCUACUGGCUGUUACAAAAUUCGUGGCAAACUUAAUUACCCUGUUCAGGGUAUAAAAACAACAGGUAAGAUCGUCAAAAUAGCAGCCCUUGACCGGAUAAAAUUUUGGAUAUCUAUUCCAAAAUUGGAGCAAAUAGAUUAAACAAAAAUCCAUACGAGAAUUUGAAUUGGAGCAUUCAGUUUUUUUUUUUUUUUUGAGAUAUUAUAACAGGUGAUUCAAGUAGAGGCACUUUUUCGGACAGUAGAUUUUUGACAGUCGUGUCAAGCCGUCAUGUUAUUUUCGCUAUUUCUAAGCAAAAUUUCCGCAUUUGAGAGGAAGAACAACUUGAAGAGAUUCGAGAGCUGACAUUUCAUCCAGAAAAAACAACUGUUUGGUCGGGUUUGUGGCUCGGUGGAAUCGUCGGUCCAUAUUUCUUCAAAAAUGAUGCCGCUGAAGAAGUAAGCGCCAAGAUAACCGACUAUUUGAUGCCUGAAAUUGAAGCUCGUGAUCUUGGUGACAUUUGAUUUCAACAAGACAGCGCCACUUCCCACACAUCGCAACAAUCAAUGGAUUUAUUGAGAGAACCCAUCGGUGAGCAGAAAAUGUCAUGUAUUGGGCCGAUAGAUUGGUCACCAAGAUCGUGAGAUAUCACACCGUUAUACUUUUUCCUGUGACGAUAUUUAAAGUCGAAAGCCUAUGGGAACUAUCCCGCUUCGAUUCAAGCUUUGGAGCAAAACAUCACGCGAGUUAUUCGGUAGUUGCCAGUCAAAAUGCUCGAACGAGUCAUCGAAAAUUGGACUCAACGGAUGGACCAUCUGAGACGUAGCCGCGUUCAACAUUUGAAAAAGACAAUCUUCAAAAAAUAAAUGCCAAAGAAUGUUCUUUCGAAUGCUGUAAGGAACCUCGCAACGGAUCACUCUUUAGUUAAACAAGUUUUUCAUACAAAAACUUGAUUUUGAUCGUUCUGUUUGUAUGGCAUGCUAUAUGAGUAUAUGCUAUAGUGGAUCAAUAUCGCUGGUUCGGACAUAUGAGCAGCUUCUUGGAGAGAAGAGAACGUGUGGUAAAUUUCAGAACGAUAUCUCAUAAAUUAAGGGACUAGUCUCGUAUAUGCAGACAGACGGACAUGGCUAGUGCAACUCACCCCGUUAUGAUUUCGUGAUUUGGCAACACCAUUGUUGCAAUCUGACAACACACAACUUUAUCGUAGAGAUUGACAUUUUUGAUAGUGUAUAUGUAUAUAUGUAUAUUUAUUAGUUGUUGACGGAAUGCAAUUUGUUGUUUAGUUCGUUAUUUAGUUUUGGUGAAAAAAAAUUUAAGACUAAAUAUCAUUUGAUAAUAAAAUUUUGAAAACAUGUACCAUUCCAA